rnacentral:tRNA from 1 species
GCGGCUGUAGCUCAGAUGGAUAGAGCGGUUCCGCGCCAAGGAUCAGGUCGUAGGUUCAAGUCCUACCAGCUGCA